rnacentral:sRNA from 1 species
AUUCAUCUAUCACUGUAUAUUUUCUUACCCAUAGAUGUUCACUUCCCUCUCUCCUGCACACAAAAUGCCCUCCAAGAGAAAUAACCCAAGAGCUGCAUCCAGUCAGAGCAUCAUGAUCAAAGUCCUGGAUGGCGCGAUAGUCUGGAUGGAGAUCCUGUGGGUCUGGAUACCUAUAAACUAAAAGGACAAUUACCUGAAUCCAUAUAUCCAAUAUACAAUGAGCAAUGGGGACAGGAUGGCCAUGGUAGACACUCCUUUACAGAAGAGGGAAGCAUGGGAAGAGUCAGUCCCGGGUCCAUAACAGUCGUGAAAUUCCACUGGACAGACACUGUGAGGACCCUUGGUCUUGGGAGUGGGAAGGUCUGUAGGUUACACCCUGGUUCUGCUCCCUGGGUGGAGCUCCCUGGCCUAGUGUUUUCCUUGGCUGUUGGCUUUGCCAUUGGGAAGUUCCUUCGUUUUGAUACCUCCUUGGUGUCAUAUGAAGAUGAUACUGGAGAAUAAGCUUUCUUGGGGGCAAAGCAGCUUUUUCAUCCUGCUGGAGUAGGUUGGUGGCCCAGGAUUGUUUUAAGUGCAACUCUAAAAAACUUAAUCAGCUUUUUAUGAAUUUGUUUCCAGUUGGCUCCAUGUGUCAGUGGUUUGACCCACAGUUCUUUUUGAAAUAUGCCCCCUUCUUUAGCCUUAAUUGUGGAGUUUUUGGAUUUCCUUGGGAAAUCUAUACUUUUUUCACUCUGAACAAUUUGGUCCUACUGAAAGCCUUUACUGGGAGCCUUUUGAAAUUACUGGGAGAUUUACUGGGAGCCUUUUGAAAUUACUCAGAGGUUUAAACAAAAAGGUUUGACAACCACAUCCAUGAUUUGGUCCCUGAUAAUGGGCUGAGUUUUAAUUAGCUGUUGUCACGCAGAAGCUGAUGUAUAUUGUCUUUGGCCAGUUGGAAAUGAGAAUUGGUUGUCUCCAACCCUGCAAGCCCUAGCAUUUCUGGACAUUUCCUAUUGCCUUCCAUUUUUGUUUUGCAAACCACAAACUCUUGAGCUCAUUUUUUCUUGUAAUACUUUGUCAAACUCAGCCAAUAACAACCAGCUCACACUACUAAUGUUAUGUUUCCAGCCUCUUCUCAUAACAUCACAAGCUCAUGCUUUCAUUGUUCAUCUUUCAAGUUACUGAAGGCAAUAGUUUCACCAAACAGUUCACCACCAAAUUACAUGGGCUGCCACCUUGCCAAUAAGUUUCUUCACUGCCUGGCCUGGAUGCCAGUGUCAUCUAUUUUUGGCUUUUUGUUAUGGCAGAACUCCACUUUGAGUACCAGUUUUUUAAGGAGUCAGUAUAGGCUAGUUAUGCCAUGAUAGCAACAGCAAACCCUCAGAGACUUACACCAUGAAAGGUUCCCUCUUGCCCAUGUUACGUGACAGCUGUGGCUUUGCCCACAUCUUCACUCAGAUCAUUUGCCAUUUUCAAGGCAGACAGGAAAGGACAAUUGCAGAACCCCCACUGGCUCUGAAGGCUUUUGCUCACCUGUAGCUCGUGUCUUUCACGUUCAGUUUGAGAAAGCAGAUGACAUCGCCCCACCUGGGGCAGGGUGAGGCAGAAGCUCAAUUCUUUAGGGAGGGCCAGUGGAUAUUUUGGACAAAUAAUAUAACCUAUCAAAAGAGGUCACUAUAGUAGUGAAUUUUUCAUGUUUGAUUAUUUUGGAUGAUUUUAUAUUAUAAAAUUGUUACUUCAGCUUUUCUGUGGAAUCAGUAUCUAAAUGGGAUUUGAUUUUUAAAUACUUUGGUGUAAAAGUAACAGGAAUUUAUAGUACUUACUUUCACCUAUUUUGCUCUUUAGUGGAUUGCCAUACAAUAUAAGCUAAAUGGGAGGUGUUCUAAUUACUGAGAUUGAAGGUGACAGGAUAGUUCUGGCCAGGACCUGUAGAAUAAUUAUGCUUUAUAAUGGUGACCUGGGAUCCAGGGUCUCAUGCUCAGCUUUAUAAACUUAGGAACUGAAUAAUGAGUAGGCUUUGGGGGAAAGGAUCAUGCUAGUCAAACGCACAAAACUUAUUGUUUCAUCAUAAAGCCACUUGUGAUUUACUUUUGCUGAACUGUGUGCUGGCAGGCAGGUGGAGGAUAAAUUAUCAUAAGCCCCAGAUUACUUGAUUUGGCCUUAUUGUUGUUAAAAUCAUAGGUCACAAGUUUCAAAAAUACUUUAGUAGAAAACUGUUGAUCCUUGUGUAUUUGAGAAUGCAAAGCAUAUUCAUCUGUUAAUUCUAAUUGAUUCCAAUUAAAUGUAACUAGAUUGAGAAUAAAACCUUUUGACAAAUGAGGAAAUGUAUUACAUUUACCCCCAACUGAGAAGAAUGUCUCUGUAGGCCUGAUUCACCUGAGACCCUGAUUAUAUUUCCUAGCAGUUUCAUAUCGAUAAGCAUAUAAGUGGACACUGGAGUGUCUUCUGUGUUUCAGGACCUGAUGACAUUUGAAGAUGUGGCUGUGGAAUUCAGCCAGUGGGAGUGGGGGCAGCUGAACCCUGCUCAGAAGGACCUCUACAGGGAGGUGAUGCUGGAGAACUUCAGGAACUUGGCCAUUCUGGGCCUUCUAGUAUCCAAACCAUAUGUCAUCUGCCAGUUGGAGGAAGGGGGUGAGCCCUUCAUGGUGGAGAGAGAAAUCUCAACAGGAGCCCACUCGGACUGGGAGAGAAGGUCUAAAUCCAAGGAAUCAAUGCCAAGUUGGGGAAUUUCCAAAGAAGAAUUAUUCCAGGUAGUAUCAGUGGAAAAACACAUUCAAGAUGUGCUGCAGUUCUCCAAGUUGAAAGCAGCCUGCAGUUGUGAUGGCCAGUUAGAGAUGCAGCAGAUAAAACAGGAGAGACACCUGAAACAAAUGUCAACCACUCACAAAUCUGCCACCACCCUUAGCAGAGAUUAUAAAUGGAAUGGAUUUGGGAGAAGCUUAGGUUUAAGAUCAGUCCUUGUUAACCAACACAGCAUUCUCAUGGGAGAAGGAUCUUAUAAAUGUGAUACAGAAUUCAGGCAGACUUUAGGGGGAAACAACUCUCAGAGAACCCACCCAGAAAAGAAAUCUUGUAAAUGUAAUGAAUGUGGGAAGUCCUUUCACUUCCAGUCAGAACUUAGGCGCCAUCAGCGAUGUCACACUGGAGAAAAGCCGUAUGAAUGCAGUGACUGUGAAAGAGCCUUUGGUCAUAUUUCAUCCCUUAUUAAACAUCAAAGAACUCAUACUGGAGAAAAGCCCUAUGAAUGCAGUGAAUGUGGGAGAGCCUUCAGCCAGAGUUCGUCUCUUGUUCUGCACUAUAGAUUUCACACUGGAGAGAAACCCUACAAAUGUAAUGAAUGUGGACGAGCCUUUGGUCACACUUCAUCCCUUAUUAAGCAUCAGAGGACUCAUACUGGAGAAAAGCCCUAUGAAUGCCGGGAAUGUGGGAGAACCUUCAGCCAGAGCUCAUCACUCAUUGUGCAUUACAGAUUUCAUACUGGAGAGAAACCUUACAAAUGUAAUAAAUGUGGGAGAGCCUUCAGCCAGAGUUCAUCUCUCACUCAACAUUACAGAUUUCACACUGGAGAGAAACCCUACAAAUGUAAUGAGUGUGGAAGGGCCUUUGCUCAUACUGCAUCCCUUAUUAAACAUCAGAGAAGUCAUGCUGGAAAAAAAACCCUAUAAAUUCAGUGAAUACAGAAGGGCUUUCAGCUGGAGUGCAGACAUCACCGGAACUUAAAGAAUUAAUAUCAGAGAGAGAUCCUAAAGGUGUAAUGUAUGUGGGAAGACCACAUCUUGUUCCACAUCAGGCAAUAAUUACUAAAGAGAAUCCCUAUCAAUGUCAAGAGGGGGUGGGCUUCCCCUCUCUUACCAAACAUGGGAGAAUCCAUACUAGUGAGAAACCACGUGAAUGUAAUGAAUGUGGGAAGGCUUUGAUCAGAGGAUGCACAUUAUUCAGCAUCAGACAGCCGACACUGGGGAGGAGCCUUAUCAAUGCAGUGAGUGUGGCAAGCCUUCAGUUACAUACUGAUUCUUUAAGAAAAUCAGAUAACUUGUACUGGAGAGAAAUUCUACAAGUGUGGUAAGUAUGGAAAAAUCUUCAGUUGUAUCUCUUCCUUUACUAAGCAUCAAGAACACAUACUAGAGAGAGGCCCUAUGAAAGCAGGAAAUAGAGGAAGGCCUUCAGUCAGGGCUCAUCCCUUAUUAAGCAUCAGAAAAUUCAUACCUGAGAAAAACCUGUGAAUGUGGGUAAUGUGGGAGAGCCUUCAGCCAAACCUCAUUGCUUUAUAAACCCCUUAGAACUCUCCCUACUAGCUGGAAACUCUGGUGACGUGAUGAGUGUGGGAAGGGCUUUGGUGGAUGUUCCACCAAAACACGUUAGAGAAUUUGUACAUUAGAGAAUUUGUGCUAGAGCAACUCUUCAAAUUUAGUGAAACUGGGAAAACCCUUUAGUAGAGUUCAAGCUUCAGUAUUCAUCUCAAAGAGAAACCUUGGGAACAUGAUGAAUGUGAGGAAAGUUCCUUUCCAACUUGAGAUGUAUAAAACUAGAGCUGAAAAGAAGCUGAGAAAUCACCUUGUCUGGUGAUUUUCUGCCUGGUGGGGCCAUUUGUAUAACCACACUUGUGCAUUGCCUCCUCAUGCUGUUACUGACGGGGCAGGGUGUCAUGCAUGGGUGCAGAGGAUGGAGGCUGAGAAAGGUAGAGAGCUACCCAUGAUCUAGCCCAGUCGUAUUUUAGAGCUAAUAAAACUGAUGUUCAGAAAGUGACAUGCCUUGGCCUAUAGUCCUAACUGGGCUGGGCCUCUUUCCUGUGGUUCACAGCUGUAGUAUGGAGAUUAAUAGACUGGAUCUUUGCAGUACAACACCUCCAUGCACUUCUUUCUCUGUAGCACAUGUUACCUUUCUUUGUGAGGCAAUGGAGUGGUCUAGGAUUGAGCAAAAAGCAAUUUUUGUUACAUCUUUAUGCUAAUAGAUUUGGAAUUUUUGAAAUGAAAUGAAACCUUGUUUAAACAUUAAAAUUACUAAAAUAGGCUGGGCGCGGUGGCUCACGCCUGUAAUCUCAGCACUUUGGGAGGCCGAGGUGGACAGAUCACGAGGUCAGGAGUUCGAGACCAUCCUGGCUAACACAGUGAAACCCUGUCUCUCCUAAAAAUACAAAAAAAUUAGCCAGGCAUGGUGGCGGGCGCCUGUAGUCCCAGCUACUGGGAAGGCUGAGGCAGGAGAAUGGCGUGAAUCGGAGAGGCGGAGCUUGCAGUCAGCCGAGAUCACGCCACUGCACUCCAGCCUGGGAGACAGAGUGAGACUCCGUCUCAGAAAAAAAAAAGAAAAAAAAAAACCAACUAAAAUAUGGGUAUUAUGCACAAUCCAGAUCUCAAAAACGUGAUUCUAAGUGAAAGAAGGCAGAUGCCAGAGACCAGGUAUUUUCUAGUACCAUUUUAGGAAAUGUCCAGAAAUGGCAGAUCUUCAGAAACAAAGUAACUACAAAUGUUACAAGGAAUCUUUUUAGGGUGACGAAAAUGUUCUAAAACUAGAUGGUGGUGAUGGUUGAACAAUUUGGUAACUUCACUAAAAAUCAUUGAAUUGUUCACUUUAUAUGGGCAGAUUUUAUGGUAAAUAUACCUCAAUAAAAUCAUUUUUCAAAAUCA